GCUAGGACGAACGCUGGCGGCGUGCUUCAUACAUGCAAGUCGAACGAGAAUUUGGUGCUUGCACCAAAGGACAGUGGCGGACGGGUGAGUAAUGUGUAGAGAAUCUGCCCUAUAGAGGGGGAUAGCAGUUGGAAACGACUAUUAAUACCCCAUAUGCGCGUAGUUGAGAUGCUAUUCGUGGAAGAUUUAUCGCUAUAGGAUGAGUCUGCAUCUGAUUAGCUAGUUGGCGGUGUAAUGGACCACCAAGGCGACGAUCAGUAGCUGGUUUGAGAGGAUGAUCAGCCACAAUGGGACUGAGACACGGCCCAUACUCCUACGGGAGGCAGCAGUAGGGAAUUUUGCGCAAUGGGCGAAAGCCUGACGCAGCAAACCGCCGCGUGAUCGCAGACGUCUUUUCGGAGUGUAAAGAUCUGUCAGUGGGGACGAACAAUGACUGUACCCACAGAGGAAGCACCGGCUAACUCCGUGCCAGCAGCGGC
rnacentral:rRNA from 1 species